AGCUAUUUAUCUGUAUAUUUAUGAAAGCUUGAUAGGCUGAUGAAAGAUAACAUCAUGUCCGAGAAUGACUCAGGCCAUAUUUCAACAGAAAAUCUGUUAAAUAAUAAUAACCAGGAAAAGGAUUUGUCAAUAGACGAUAAUAAUGUUGCAAAUACGCCAUCAGAUGAUUUUGGACAUAAAGAAGAGGUUACUCAGGAUUCUAGUCCAGUAUCGCUAAAUUCAUCGCCAAUGCAAGAGCAUAAAAGUGAGGUUGAGGAUAUAAAGGGAGAAAUUGCUCAAACAGAAAAGUUUGAUGAGUCGGUUUCCACUGAAACAAAUGAUGCAAAACAAGAAAAUUUGGAUGAAGUUAAGGAAGAUAAUACCACAGAAGGUAACCCUAUGCAAGAUGAGACCAAUGAUUCAAAUAUAGAGUU
rnacentral:snRNA from 1 species